UACGGGGGGGGCAAGCGUUGUUCGGAAUUACUGGGCGUAAAGGGCUCGUAGGUGGCCAACUAAGUCAGACGUGAAAUCCCCCGGCUUAACCUGGGAACUGCGUCUGAUACUGGGAGGCUUGAGUAUGGGAGAGGGAUGUAGAAUUCCAGGUGUAGCGGUGAAAUGCGUAGAUAUCUGGAGGAAUACCGGUGGCGAAGGCGGCAUCCUGGACCAUAACUGACGCUGAGGCGCGAAAGCUAGGGGAGCAAACGGGG
rnacentral:rRNA from 1 species